GGCAGUCGUGUCAAAUUCGGCAGCUCCUGCUCAGUGGGUUCUGCUGGCCAAAACGACUGCAACAUUAUCUGGCGGUUCAUGGGCCUCAUCUCCUCCCGUGUGGAUGCUGAGGAUAAAUUGUACUGCCGACACUC